AGGGGGCAUUAUGGCAAGGCUGGAGCCACGGAAACCAGCUGCGAGGCAGUUCACAGUAUUACAGCCCCUGACUUUCCACUGGGCCUGCGAAUCCACACGGUGCAGCGUUGGGAUGCAGUUUUCAGAGACCUGUGACUAAAGCUUUGUUACUGGAUAGACUGCUCAGCCCUGGAUCAUCUCCACUCAGCAGGCGUCUUCUCCCAGUAGCCCCUCAGCUCCCUGCUAUUACCCUUCACCCAGGCCUGAAAAGCAGCUCCUUUAAGAAGCUCACAGACUCCUGAGGAGACA